GAGUUUGAUCCUGGCUCAGAACGAACGCUGGCGGCAGGCUUAACACAUGCAAGUCGAACGCUCGUAGCAAUACGGGAGUGGCAGACGGGUGAGUAACGCGUGGGAACAUACCCUCCGGUUCGGAAUAGCUCAGGGAAACUUGGAUUAAUACCGGAUACGGCUGAGAGGCGAAAGAUUUAUCGCCGGAGGAUUGGCCCGCGUUCGAUUAGCUUGUUGGUGAGGUAACGGCUCACCAAGGCGAUGAUCGAUAGCUGGUCUGAGAGGAUGAUCAGCCACAUUGGGACUGAGACACGGCCCAAACUCCUACGGGAGGCAGCAGUGGGGAAUAUUGGACAAUGGGCGCAAGCCUGAUCCAGCCAUGCCGCGUGAGUGAUGACGGCCUUAGGGUUGUAAAGCUCUUUCGCUCGGGACGAUAAUGACGGUACCGAGAUAAGAAGCCCCGGCUAACUUCGUGCCAGCAGCCGCGGUAAUACGAAGGGGGCUAGCGUUGUUCGGAAUUACUGGGCGUAAAGCGCGCGUAGGCGGGUCUUUAAGUCAGGGGUGAAAUGCCAAGGCUCAACCUUGGAACUGCCUUUGAUACUGGAGAUCUUGAGUCCGGGAGAGGUGAGUGGAAUUGCGAGUGUAGAGGUGAAAUUCGUAGAUAUUCGCAAGAACACCAGUGGCGAAGGCGGCUCACUGGCCCGGAGCUGAC
rnacentral:rRNA from 1 species